UUAUCUGAACCUUCGGGGAACGAUAACGGCGUCGAGCGGCGGACGGGUGAGUAAUGCCUAGGAAAUUGCCUUGAUGUGGGGGAUAACCAUUGGAAACGAUGGCUAAUACCGCAURAUGCCUACGGGCCAAAGAGGGGGACCUUCGGGCCUCUCGCGUCAAGAUAUGCCUAGGUGGGAUUAGCUAGUUGGUGAGGUAAUGGCUCACCAAGGCGACGAUCCCUAGCUGGUCUGAGAGGAUGAUCAGCCACACUGGAACUGAGACACGGUCCAGACUCCUACGGGAGGCAGCAGUGGGGAAUAUUGCACAAUGGGCGCAAGCCUGAUGCAGCCAUGCCGCGUGUAUGAAGAAGGCCUUCGGGUUGUAAAGUACUUUCAGCCGUGAGGAAGGGGGUGUCGUUAAUAGCGGCAUYUCUUGACGUUAGCUGCAGAAGAAGCACCGGCUAACUCCGUGCCAGCAGCCGCGGUAAUACGGAGGGUGCGAGCGUUAAUCGGAAUUACUGGGCGUAAAGCGCAUGCAGGUGGUUUGUUAAGUCAGAUGUGAAAGCCCGGGGCUCAACCUCGGAACUGCAUUUGAAACUGGCAAACUAGAGUACUGUAGAGGGGGGUAGAAUUUCAGGUGUAGCGGUGAAAUGCGUAGAGAU
rnacentral:rRNA from 1 species